ACAUGGCUGGCUCAGUCAGUGGAGUGUGGGACUCUUGAUCUUGGGGUUGUGGGUUCGAGCCCCACGUGGGGUG
rnacentral:tRNA from 1 species